ensembl:lncRNA
UUGAGAUUGGUUGAUUAAUUGACUAGUUGCGGAUAAGGAAAUUAAAUACAAGGUACACUGAUAAUUUCUAAAAAAAUUUAAUGUCAGAAAUAUACUGCAUUUUUAUAAUUUACUCUAAAAUAUGCAUGUUUUCAAGCUGAGUUUAAUAAAUGGAUAUUCAUUUAAUGCUCAUUGCUAUUUGGCAGCUUAACUGUAGUUUAAAAGCCUUGAAAAAUCCUCAAAAACCUAAAAUGGGAAAGCUAAACUAAAGAACACAGGAAACAUGGAAAAUGUUGCAAAAACCUUACAACCUUGAACGAGGAACAUAAGACAUGAAAACAUCAGGGAGGGAACACAGAUGAUAACACAGGAGAGAAUACAGACGAUCCGACAAAGAACACACUAAAUAUACACACACAAAAGGAAACGAGGAAUUGGCAGACAGGCACGAAACACAGCUGACACUAAUCAGAUGAGAAGAGACCAGGAGGAGAAUACACCGAUGCAGGGCAGGGACUAUCAAAGUAAAACAGGAAUAAACACGAAUAUCGAACCAGGGACAAUACACUGAAGACAAGGGAGGUACAGAGAACACCUAAACACUGGAAAUAAUUAACAAAUAACUAGGAAACUAACUGACACAAUGAAUAUUAAUAAACACAAACAACCAAGGAGACUGCGGACCAUGACAAUUGGUUUAUUUAAAACAAAAGUUUAAAAAAAUACAAAAUGUUGUUUUCUCUAGUAGAAGAAAUUAAACACUAUCAGAAUAUUCUUUAUAAAUAGAUAGCAUUGUUGUGGAUUAUAAGGAAUAAGCAUUAACAUAUCUACUGUUAAGCUGUAAAAACAAGUAGACAUCUAACAUGAAUAUUUUAUAUGAUUAUUUUCAAAGAUAUUAAAGUAUAUAGUCAGUCUCACCUUACAGAUUUUUGUGUCCUAAUCGAUCCGCUGCAUCGUCCAUUGGCAAGGUGGUCGGAGUGUGUUCGAAGAAUGUGAUACCAAAAUUAGCUGUAAACACGAUAUUCUUUGACACAUCCAUCUAUGCCACAAUCUUCACGGAAAUCUGGACUAUGGCUAUGUGCAGAAUUAAUAUGACUCAGUAGGGAUUUGAGGGUCAGACCCACAAAAACGAUGUAGAUAACACAGCGCCAAAUCAUUUUGUUUUACUGGUCUGUGAACUACUUUUCCCAUAAAGUCAAGAUAACCAGGAUUAUUCCAUUAUGGGGUAGAAAUGGCUAUCCUAAUUCAGUGCCUUAUAACAGCUGUAGUAUAAAAGAGCGAACUAAACCAUUUCCGUACACAACCCCAUACUCCUGAGUUGGUACAGCCCACCUUCCCGCCUCUAGCUCCGUGCCUAAGCGGUUGGAUUGCAGGAUUUUGGGGUCUGGGUGUAGAUGCGAUACAGUUGGUACAGUGUGAAGAAAUUAAGGCACGCUAUGGAAAAACUGGACGAAAUAACAAUUGCCAAUCUGAAAGUCAAUAGGAGGAAGGUAAUUUAGAACCUGUGGAGCAGUGAGGAGGGAGAAUAAUGGAAUAGAGUCAUGGUUUUAAAUGAAGCAAAUGUUGGAGAAGACCUGCUCUCAUCACUUUCACGAGAUGACAUCAAAGAUCUGUUUCCUGGUCCUGAACAUUGCCUCAGGCGUCGGGCUCUAUGGCUUGCAGUGCACAAAUGUGAAGAAUGGAACAUGCAGCAGCUGUGUUCAGAGCCCUUCCCAUGCUUUUCCCUUCCAGCACAGUACCACCUAAGAAGCUGGGCAUCUGUAGUGAGGCUUUUUUCCAUGUCCUAAAGACUUCAGAAGACCCUGAAGGCUACCUGCGUCAGCGACCCCUGGCUUGUCCAGUUCUGCUUGUCUCUGAAGGCAACUGCAUGAUAGCUGUUGGAACCACACCGGUGAGCACUUUUGACCGGAAGGAUCUUAAUGAGGGACUGCUCUAUCUGAUGGCAUAUUACUAUGCCCUCCACCUCACAUAUCCAUAGUGCAUUUCCACGCUGCUGUCUGUCUUGCAAACUGAAAUACUCAAAGACUCCAUCCAUGACCGAGAUUCAACCCCCUCUUACAAGAAGGCGCUUGGUGAGUGGAAGUCAUUCAUUGAGUGAGUCUCCCAGAUGACAGACUCCAUCUGCCUUGUUUAUCAGACUCAGUGUUAGUCAGUGAGGUUGUUUUUUUUUCUAUAGAAAAGUUGUUCAAAUGUAAAACACAUGUUUGUUUGUGUGGUCGUUAAACUUGUUCUUCUAAAAUGUUAUGUAAUAUAGGAUUUGAAAUAGUGAUUGUUUUAAGCUUCAGCAAAAUUUAUUUUUGAUACCAGCCAUGAGUGUGUUAUACUGUUAUUAUUCAUUUUAAGAGUAUCUGGAAUAUGCACUUCUUAUAUUGGCCAUGUUACACAGUACCCUGCUGAAAUGUAUAAUUUUAGGCAUGAUUCUCCUGGAACAGACCUCAGUGAGUUACUGACCCAUUGCUGUGUCAAUAAAAGCG